GGAGGGACGCCCCGGGCACCGCCCCCGUCCCGCCGGCGCCCCCCGCUCCAGUCCCGGACCCCGAGCCAGGCCUGUCCCAAGUCCUCCCGGGCCCGCCCGCCCGUGGCCCCUUACCUUGGCCUGGCAUUUCCGAUGACAGGAGAAGCUGCAGACUGCAAGAGAGCGAGACACAGAAAGAAAGUUUUAGCCGCGAGGUAGGCACCCUUGGCAGCGCUUGGCCUACAUGACCAUACAGGGCAGCCCUGCCGGUCACACAGCGGGCAGACACUCAGCAAAUGCCCUCAAGUGGGGGGCAAGUGGAGAAAUCAUCAGGCAAUUGCAGUAUGCUAUGCUGAGUGCUUCCUGCACACUGGAAUGCAGAAAGCUUGUCCUUGGCAGCUCUACAAAGGGGAGCGAAGGAAGACCACCCCCACCCCAGUUCCCAGCCCAGAAGACAAAAGCUUAGCAAACCGAAAGCAAGUGGCAGAUGCCAAGCAGGACAGGCUUGGCCAAGCCCCCAUGAAUGGAUUUUGACAUCUGCAGAAGUAUCCGCCUCCAACCCGAAGGAGGCCCGCUUGCUGAGUCUCCUCCAGGGAAGCCCCCUUUGCAUGCCUGGCCACCUUUCUCACAUCUCCUUCCAAGGGGCAGAAUGUCCUCCCAACUUGCAUCAUGUCUGCUGUCCUCUCAAGUUUGGGCCUGCCGAUCUGCUGGCCUCUCACUCUCAGAAUGAUGAAAUACUCCAUAUACUACAGAAAAGGAAACUGUGGCAGCCAGCCUCUUGGGUAGCUGCCAGUGUUUCUUGCCUCUGCUACUCAUGCCCUUCUGGAGUCCCCUCCCACACUAAAUAGGGCUGAUUCAUGUAAUCAAUCAGAUACUAUAGAAAUGACAGUGUGUGACUUCUGAGGCUAAGCUAUAAAAGACACUUUGACUUCA